rnacentral:rRNA from 1 species
AUGGUGCUCCUCCUCACGCCCACGCCGUCCUCCUCCUCAGGCCAUCACCAUCGUCUCCCCUCCUCCCUGACCGGCCUGCGUGAUCCCAACGCGGGGGGACGACAUCAACCAUGGAGCGGAGCCCUGUGGGACGAGGUGGAGAUUGGAGAAUGCCGCGGCGAUGAGGGGCACCACGUACGUGGUACCACCACGCACCAUGGUGGGGAUGAGAGGUGUUGUAGCCCUUCCAUCGAGCUCGACUCCGGCGGUCCAGGCCUGCGACGACGAUAA